UACGGGGGGGGCAAGCGUUGUUCGGAAUUACUGGGCGUAAAGGGCUCGUAGGUGGCCAACUAAGUCAGACGUGAAAUCCCUCGGCUUAACCGGGGAACUGCGUCGGAUACUGGAUGGCUUGAGUUCGGGAGAGGGAUGCGGAAUUCCAGGUGUAGCGGUGAAAUGCGUAGAUAUCUGGAGGAACACCGGUGGCGAAGGCGGCAUCCUGGACCGACACUGACGCUGAGGAGCGAAAGCCAGGGGAGCAAACGGG
rnacentral:rRNA from 1 species